AAAUUGAAGAGUUUGAUCAUGGCUCAGAUUGAACGCUGGCGGCAGGCCUAACACAUGCAAGUCGAACGGUAACAGGAAGAAGCUUGCUUCUUUGCUGACGAGUGGCGGACGGGUGAGUAAUGUCUGGGAAACUGCCUGAUGGAGGGGGAUA
rnacentral:rRNA from 2 species